rnacentral:tRNA from 1 species
CGUUCUAUGGCCAAACUGGUAAAGGCAUCGCCGCCGAUCACAGGCGAGGACGCGGGUUUGAAUCCCGCUAGAACGG